rnacentral:rRNA from 1 species
GAUGAACGCUGGCGGCGUGCUUAACACAUGCAAGUCGAACGGAAAGGCUCCUGCUUGCAGGGGUACUCGAGUGGCGAACGGGUGAGUAACACGUGGGUGAUCUGCCCUGCACUUCGGGAUAAGCCUGGGAAACUGGGUCUAAUACCGGAUAGGACCACAUUUUGGAUGGUGUGGUGGAAAGUUUUUCGGUGUGGGAUUAGCUCGCGGCCUAUCAGCUUGUUGGUGGGGUAAUGGCCUACCAAGGCGUCGACGGGUAGCCGGCCUGAGAGGGUGUACGGCCACAUUGGGACUGAGAUACGGCCCAGACUCCUACGGGAGGCAGCAGUGGGGAAUAUUGCACAAUGGGCGCAAGCCUGAUGCAGCGACGCCGCGUGGGGGAUGACGGCCUUCGGGUUGUAAACUCCUUUCGCUAGGGACGAAGCGUUUUUGUGACGGUACCUGGAGAAGAAGCACCGGCUAACUACGUG